GUUCCGUAGGUGAACCUGCGGAAGGAUCAUUCAUAAUAAGUGUUUUAUGGCACCUUUUUAAAUCCAUAUCCACCUUGUGUGCAAUGUCAGGGUUGAUUUUUCUCUCGAGAGGAUCAACCCCAAACAUCAACUAUAUCUCAACUCUUUGUCUGAAAAAUAUUAUGAAUAAAACAAUUCAAAAUACAACUUUCAACAACGGAUCUCUUGGCUCUC
rnacentral:misc_RNA from 1 species